UACAGAGGUCCCGAGCGUUGUUCGGAUUCAUUGGGCGUAAAGGGUGCGUAGGUGGCGCCGUAAGUGGGGUGUGAAAUCCCGGGGCUUAACCUCGGGACUGCAUUCCAUACUGCGGUGCUUGAGGACUGGAGAGGAGACUGGAAUUUACGGUGUAGCAGUGAAAUGCGUAGAGAUCGUAAGGAAGACCAGUGGCGAAGGCGGGUCUCUGGACAGUUCCUGACACUGAGGCACGAAGGCCAGGGGAGCAAACGGG
rnacentral:rRNA from 1 species